rnacentral:tRNA from 1 species
AUUUAAGUAGUUUAAAUAAAAUUUAAGUUUGUGAUACUUGGGAUGUAAAUUUAAUUUACCUUAGAUA